AAUUUGGGAGAAGGGCUGCGGUCUAGGUCGAGAGUUUCGUGACUACAACUUCUGAAACGCGUCUUAUUUAUGUGAAGAUGACGUGCUUCAGAAGCUGUAGUCACGAAACCCUCGACCUUGACGGCGUCCUU
rnacentral:pre_miRNA from 1 species